rnacentral:lncRNA from 1 species
GUAUUUUUAUGGUGGGAGAGGCCCAUGAAAAUCGCAGUGCCCUCUGGGGAAAUCUCAUAGAGCCACUGGUUACUUCCCAAGCUCAGGCGCUCGGAAGGCCCAGGAAAGCUCCUCAAAGGCAUGGCGACGACGAAGUAAAUAACCACAGGGGUGCGGGUGCUUCUGGCUCCUCUGACGUCCUGCACAGUCAUCGCAAGCACCAUCAGAUGAGGUGCCCUGGACAGCGUUUCCUCUUCACAGCCCUGGGGGAUGGAAGUCAUGCCUGUGUCUGUACCCAGACCUGGGGGAUGGAAGUUACGCCUGUGCUGUACUCAGCCCGCCCCACGUCAGCACUGCUGCCCAGUACAAGCCCCCGUCAGGGUUUGCAGACCAGGUUCAGUGUGUUCCUUCAUUCCAGCCUGUCUGAGGGAGGCUGUGGCCUGUGGCCAGGACAGGAGGGACCGAGGUGUCCCUGUGAAGAGCAGGUUGUCCAGAGGUCCAGUUAGUGGCCUUGGAGAACACUGACAGCAGCACAGCCCCAGCCUCACUCCCUGGUAUGCAACGUGGUGGCUUCUCUAAGGAGGACGGGGGAGUUUUCUUAGGCCAAACAUCCAGGGUGCCGUCCUGCAGGUGCCCACUUUGACACCUCACCUUCACUUUGUGGCUCAAGACAAAUGGCCUGGGGAAAGAUGGUGUUGAAGUGGAGGCAGCAACCACAGGCAGCUGGUCCAUGGGACUCGUCUGUACAGGGAACCGAGACGGGGCUGCAACUGGAGGACCCAUGCCAGGGGACCUCAUUGCAUUUAGUUGUCACGUCUGCCCUGGCUCCUCUGGUCUGUGUCACGUUGUUUUUGAUACCUGCUUGGGGCCAAUACUAGGACCAGAGAGUCCUGAACUAUUCCCAAUCGUGUUUAUGUUGAGGCAGAAGACAUGGCUGUGGAGUGUCAGUGCACCAGGGUCUGCCGGGCCCCCGCCUCCCCAUCCUUCCAAGAGGCACCAGCUGCAAGGCAUGUGCUCACAGCGCCAGCGGUGCCUCGUGCUCCACCUGGAGCGCUACUGUCUGUCGGGGACAUGGGCUCCCAGGAGGCUGCAUGUCAAUGAUUUCCGACCUUCAGAACAACCAGGAAGUAGGGACUGGGAUUGUUCCCAUUCUGCAGAUGAGAAGACUGAGGCUUGGGAUAACAUGCUUGCCCAAGGUCACAUGGGCAGUACAAGACAAAGCUAG